ensembl:lncRNA
GAGGUGAAAGCUUGUGCCUGAAAUAGUAUGGCCGGAAGAAUUCAUGCCAAGGCAGGCUGACUCUAGAAGUCAAGCUUUUGACUUACCUGGAAAUCCAGUGGUUAAGAUACUGUGCUGUGGCUGCAGGGGCUCCAGUUUGAUCCCUGGUUGGGGAACUAAGAUCCUGCAUGCCUCGAGGUAAGGCCAAACAAAACAAAACGAAACAAAAGAGCAGAAGUCAAGCUUUUGGCUAAUAUCCACCCCUGGAGCAGAUAGCUGUAGCCUAUCUCUGCAGCCUCAGGAAGUGGGCAAGAGGGGGAGAUUUGUGUGUGCUUGCGAGUAUGGGUGUCGUGGGUGGUGCAGAUUUCCGGGGUCAGCCAGCAACUGCCCUGGGAUUCCAACGGCAGAGGCCCAGCCUGGGGAGAACUUUCCAAAGACCAGCCAUUUCCUCUGGACUGCUCCAGGGGCCUUGCCCGAGCCCACCAGCUCAUUUAAGCUCUGCUCUGGUCCUGCUGCAGGACUACAGAGCAGCCGGCUCCGCGCCCAGUUUGCCUGCCGUGUAACAGGAUAGUUUAUAUUAUACCGCUGAGCAGAAAUAAAACUACUGACUCAAACAUUGCAAACAGAUGCCGCCGGCCAGAGCCCAGGGUCCGCGGCCAGAUGCUGUUCUGAGAACCCUGGGAGGGCAGAAGCUGGGAGCCUGGUCCCUCCAGACCCUACAGAAUUCGGCCAGUUCGCCACUUGAGACCUGCCCGUUUCUGGAUUUUAAUGGCCUUUUUUCCCAGGCAGAGGUGAAAGAAACCCGGGAAGCCUCCUGGAAAUCCCAUUGACUUGGCAGAAAGAAGAGCUGGACGAUGACUAGAAGGUUCCAGAAGACAUCAUGGGGAGACAUCUCAGGAAGGAAAAGUGAAUUAUCCACAGGAAUUCAGGGGCGGUGCUCCCCAUCGAAGGCUGGCAUCAGGAAAGACUCUGAGGUCAGAUCCAGACACGGGAUUGGAGGUGCUGAUAAACUCUGCUGCGGCACAGACUUUGGGGAGAAGGUGAGAAAAAUGAGGAAAUGGGGCACACCUGCUCUUUUAUCUUCGCGUCUCUCCUGCACACUCCAAAGGAAACCUAUAGUCCCGAUGAACGACUGCGUUGAUUUGGCGACCAGGUUCACUUGGCAUUUGCAGAGCGAGCUAUUUCAAGAAUGUGCAGAUUCAGUCCUGAAAAUGGCCUAGGAGAAGACUGGCUGGGCUUCAGAGGAGCAGAACAAAUGAGUUCCCCCUGCCCACCCCCCUGCUCCUUGCACCCCAUCCUGCGAUUUCCUUUGUCUCAAUCCAAAAUCCCCCUUUACAUGAUCCCGGAGGCUUCCUAAUAAAAUAGAACUGUAACUUUA